GGGUUCACAGUUAACCUCUUUGGGUUUUUGGGACCAUAAAAUCCUUCCAGGCCCACAGUCAGCAGAUGGUUCUUGUCGAUAGAUUUCACAAAAGCUGACAUUUCUUCGAUCCAGUCUUGGAGAGUGUCACCUGAAGGAUCAGACAUGCAACGAGGUUCAUUCAUCAACUCCCAUCCAAAGAUGCUGGGAUCGUUCCUAUAUUCAAUCCCCGUGAUGGUGUUUUUUCUAGUCAACAAAGUCUUAACAUAGUUCUUGAAAUAUCUUUUGAUGGUUGGGUCAAAGAAGAAAGAAUCAUUUGAAGAGCUCAAACCAAUGCCUUCUUCCCACGCCCACUUCACAUACUGUGUUUUCCCACCAUAUGCCCUUAAGUUAUUGACUAAACUAAAAAGCAGUCUGAUUCCAUGCUGUCUUGCUUCUGCAAUGACAUAAUCCAA
rnacentral:misc_RNA from 1 species